UGGGGAGUCGUCUAACGGCAAGACAUCUGGUUUUGGUCCAGAGAAUGGGGGUCCGAUUCCUCCCUCCCCAG
rnacentral:tRNA from 1 species